UUGAGGCGGAGAGUUUCGUACACGACGGAGUGGACUAGUUCCAAGUCUUUAACCGAUUCAAAGGUUAGAUUUGUUCCCGGCUUGAUCUUUGAUCUGACCUCUUCUCUCAGUUUGGCCUGUAACUCCGGUUUGCCGCUAAGAGCGCUGAGGAGAGAUGGGAAGAAGAUGGUGAAGCCACCGAAGGCGUUGAAGCCGAGGACGAAGAGGAGGUUGUGGAUGGUUUCUUCUUUGGAGAGGUUGAACUCGGUUUCGCCUCUUUGAAGCACGGCUUGGCCGUGUUGUUCGACGAAGUCGUAGAGUUUUCUGUAGUCUCCUUUGACGAGGAAGAAUGGGUAAGCGAAAGAGUGGAGGAAGAUCUCUUCGAGUGGUUGCAGGAAGUUGACGCUGAUGGUGGGGAGGAGCUGGAGGAAAACCCAUUUGUCGAGCAUGACGUAGCCAGACUCCGCAAUUUCCGGCGACACAGCGGGAUCCGCGCCAACAAGGCAUUUAGUUAGGAAAUGGAAGAUGAAGCGCUGGAGAGGCUUGAUGUAACUGGCGCUGUUGCUCUUGGCGACGCCGGCGUCGAUGGUGUCCCACAUGGUGUCCAGGCUGGCCACGACCUCGCUUGCCCAGAUGCUGGAACUCCGUUUCAGAAUGUCCAUGGCAAAGCUCUUUACCUGCCGGAGAUUCCAUAAUUGUUGAUGUGAUUUUUCUACAAUUUUUAUUGAUUUAUUUUAAAGGGUAAUUCAUGAAAUUUAAUCUAUGAAUGCAAGACAUAGAAUAAGAUAAAAUUUGUUGCCCCUAUCCCAUGGUCAUGGUGAUGAGUUGCGAGAUAUUUUUGACUUCGAGAUUGUGGGGAACGCAACGUUCUAUUUACAGAGUGUCCUCUAGACCACUCUUGGGCCUAUAUUCGACCUAUAUUCGAAAACGUUAAAUGAAAAUUAUUAUAUUUUUAUUAAGAAAUAAAACAAAAAAAUCCACUUGUGAUUUGUUUUUAAUAUUUAAAAAAUAUUAAAUAUUUAUAAUCAAGAAAAAUAAAAAUAAAAAAUUAGAAAAGCACAUCCUAGUCCCUUAAUAAUUUAAUAUAUAUAUUAAAAAAUUAUUUAAAAUCAAUUCAUUAUUUUAUAUACUACUCCGUUUCAUUGAUUUUAUGUUUUCUGUAAAAAUAAAAUGAUUUGAAAAUUUGUAAGUUAUAGAAAGACAAUAAAAUAAUUUUUUUUAGUAUUUUUUUUAUUAUGUUUAGUUUUUAAAAAAUUUGAAAGAAAAUACGAAAUAAAGAAAUUAAAGAAAAAAAUUAAAAAAAUAUGAAAUAAAUUUAAAUUUAAUAAAUUAUUUUAUUCUAUUUAUUUUUUUUAUAUUAUAACAAGAUUAAAUAAUCUUAAAAUAAAAAAAAAUUAAAUUUAUUUUAUUUUAUAUUUUUUUAAAUAAAACCAAAUCUGACCAACCAUCCAAACAUAUUUAAUAUUUUUUGAAAUCAAAUAUAAGAUAAAAAUAAAAAAAUAAAAAAAUAAAAUAUAUUUAAAAUUAAUCAAUUAUUUUUAUAUAUUAUAUGAAAAAAAAUUCCCACAAAAACCUUAUAAAUGUUCGUUUUCCAUCGCAACUACUGUUUCAACAUUAGUGGUUUAGAUUUUUCAACACACAAAUUUAUAAAUAUUUCUUCCUCCAUAAAUGAAGGUACGACUAUCAGAUCUAAAGCAGUGUCACUCGACAUAGAUAUGCUGACUCACUGAGUCGAUGACUGAACUGGACUCAGUGAGUUUGGAAGAUCAGAACGAGGCAACGGAAUCUUACCCUGGCGUGUUGGGUCUCGGCGGUGUCGAGAUAGGCACAGACUCGAAUGUCGCCGGUGUACUUGACGCUGGGCAUGAAGUCGCCGACGAGGACAUUCUUCUUCUCGACAACAUCCAUAUCAAAGAGAAAGGAGAAGGAUUUGCAAUCGAGGACGGCGAUUACGUUAGGAUUGACACCGACGAAGAAGGGGAACGACGGAGGGACGUUGGUACGGAACACGGUGCUCUUGUACUUGUCGAUCCUCUUCCGGAAGAACGUCUCCGGGCCCUGGAACCAGAAGUAGUCGAGGCGGUCGGCGAUCGGGCCGAGCACAGGCCAGCCGUAGCUGCCAGGAAUCGCGCGAACGGGGGAGGACGAGGGAGGAGACGGUGGAGUUAGAGACGAGGGCGUCGGGACUCCCGGCGAGACGCUCAUGACCGUGGAAGACAACAUGAUUCUACAGGAGAAGAAACGGUGUGUGGUAGGCAGUUUGGGAUCCAAGAGGGGAAAGGUUAAAUAAAUAUCUGUCGAAUCUUGGUGAUGAUAUGUGGAGGCAGUGAAUGUGACAGCGAUGUGGGACUGUGAAAUGGAAAGCUGGUCCACACAAGUUAAAGGUUUCUUCUCUUCAAAAAAUUAUCAACAAUUUCAAGUGUUCACAUUUUGAUGAUUUUACUUUUAUUAGAAAACGUGCCAAUUAGGUUUUAGAAGGACAAAACGUUAUCCUUUUUAAGUUAGAAAUUUGAAGAUUUUUCCAAGAUGAAUGAUACUUCGACCCAACAGUAGUUAUCGAAUUAGUACACGUGGCACCAUCUAACUCCUAACUAGUGACGUAUUUUUGCACCAAUUAAAAAUAAGAGGUUCACUCAAAAAUAAUAAUAAUCUUUUUAUGUUUAAUUUUAUUUUACAACACGUUAUCAAUAUGAUUUACAACCGAAUCAAUAUAAUUUUACUUUUUAUGUAAUUGUUAUAAUUGACCAAUCAUUUAUAUUUUUACAACAUUGUCUAACUCUAAUUAUUCAUGUCUGAAACUAUGGAAAAAAUGCUAGUAAAUUAAUAAAUAUCAAAAUUCAUAUAAUCAAAAGUUAUAUGAGUAAAGUUUUACUAUAUAUAUAUAUAACAAAAUUAUUCUUUUAUUUUUAUUAUUAGAUAUUAUGGAAUUUUAAUGUGAUUUUUAUCAUUAGAUUGGUUUUUAUUUUUAUACGAUUUUGAUUAAAUUGUAUAUGUAGAAUCAUGUAAAAAUAGAAAUUCUCUUAACCCGAAGGUACAAAGAACUAUAGAAAUAAUGUUUUUAAUACCAUUUAAUAUUUAAUAUAUUAAAAAUAAGAGGUUCACACAAUAAUAAUAAUAAUAAUAAUCUUUUUAUAUUUAAUUUUAUUUUACAACACAUUAUCAAGAUCUACAACAUAAUCAAUAUAAUUUUACUUUUUAUGUAAUUGUUAUAAUUGACCAAUCAUUUAUAUUUUUACAACAUUGCUCAACUCUAAUUAUUCAUACCCUAAAACCAUGGGGAAAAUGUUAGUAAAUUAAUAAAUAUCAAAAUUCAUAUAAUCAAAAGCUAUAUGAAUAAGGGUUUACUAUAUAUACAUAUAUAUAUAUAUAUAUAACAAAAUUAUUCUUUUAUUUUUAUUCUUAGAUAUUAUGGAAUUUUAAUGUGAUUUUUAUCACUAGAUUGGUUUUUAUUUUUAUACGAUUUUGAUUAAAUUGUAUAUGUGGAAUCAUAUAAAAAUAGAAAUUCUCUCAACCCGAAGGUAUGAAGAACUAUAGAAAUAUGAUAAUUUUUCAUAACUUGAAGCAACUAUCUUAUAUAUUCAUAUAAUAAAUUUUGUAUGACUCAUAUCAUGAAGUUAUAUCAAUUUUAUAUAUUUUCAUAAUCGAAGAUUAUGAAGGAACUAUGUGAAUUUUUAUUUUUAUCUUUGUUUUUUAAUUGAAUUAUUGAAAAUUUUAAUUUGUUAUCAUUCAGUUUUGAUUGAUUAUAUCAUCACUGUUAUCUUUAAGUUAUAAAGAUUGAAAUUUCUAAAGUUGUACAUUUCAUAUCAUAGAAAAAAAUUAUCUUUUUAAUACAUGCACUUGUCAUAUUUAUUCGUUGUAUGCAAUGAUUAAAAUAUCGCGAUAUGUUGGCGAUAUAUCGAGUAUCGGUGAACUAGACAAUUUAUCGUGAAUUGCGUCAAUUUUUCACCCAUCUCUCAUGAUAUGUUGAGCAAUCAACGCGGGUCAAUCAAACUUUAAAAAUUACUCCAAUUUUCCUUCACAAGUUUGCCCCUUGUCAUAUAAAUUGUACCAAAUAUAUAUAAACUCAAAUUCAUCAUAUAAACAUAAUUUUUUAAAAAUGUUUUAAAGAACAAAUUAAGUAUAAUUAUUUUAUAAUUAAAUGAAAAUUUUUCAUCUAUUUAAAUACCAAAAAUAUAAAAAUUAGGGUAAUAAUUUUUUUUUCAUAAUGUUUUUAAUACCAUUAAUAUAUUAAUUAAGUGUUAAAAAUUAUACAUAAUUAUCAUUUAUUUUAUAUUAUUUAAUAUAAUUGAAUCAAAUGAAUUAUAAUAGUAAUAUUAAAUAUAUUUUUAAAUUAAACAUAUUUUAAUCAAAUAUCACAAUAUUAUUAUCGAAUAAUAUUUGAUAUAAUUUAAUAAUAAAUGUAUAUUUAUGAAAUUUAUAUUUUUUUAUUAGCACAUACAAUAUUAUUAUCAAAUAUGAUAAAUUAUACUACACAUAUAUCAAUUUCUUGAACAAAACAACUUUAAAAUAUCUAUUAUAUUUCUAAUUUUAUUUUAAGAGUUUUUUCUUACAUUUUUAUAAUUUCUGAUCAAUUUUAGGUUCACCAACAUUUUGUGUCAAAAUAUCCAUCGAUAUAUUUUCGAUAUAUCCGUAAAAUGGAAGUAUUGAUAUAUCUGUAAUUACAAAUAUUUUCAUCCUUAGUUGUAUGCAUACAAUAUCAAGUGUUUGAUAGAUUUAUUUCAAGAUAUUUGUCUCAUAUAUUGAAUAACAUAUGUAACAACUGAUGUUAAUCGACAUCAAGCAAACUUGAUUACAGACUUUAGAAGGGAUAAAAUUAUAUCACAAAUAAUAUAUAAUUCUAUUUGAAUGACAUUUUACAUUAUAUUCAAUCCAAAAGAAUAUAAUAUAAUUAAUAUGGUCCUCAUGUCAAUAAUAAUGCAUUAAUUUAUUACAAGUCCUGUAGACAUAUAUCAUAAAGUUAACAGUUUUUUGUCUAACGACAAGUUUAUCUAUACUUUUGAAAUGUAAAAUGAUAUGUUGUGUAAAUUAUUAUUUUUAAUGAGAUAAAUUUUCUUGUCAUUGAGGAGAAGAAGUUGAUUCCAAAAGAACAACAUGAAAUUUCUUAGAAAUUUUUUUUAUAAAAUAUGAUACAUUAAUGUCUAUGAAGAAAUAUUAAUUGACAUAGUAGAUACUCGCUCGAAACAUGGUAGAAUAAAAAAAGCAAAAAAUACCAUCCUAAUGGGACAAGUGGCUAUUAUAAUGAAAAAUGAAUUUAAAUUAUGCCCGAAGUGUAAUAGAUUUGUCAAUUCAAAUGAUGUAGUUCCUCAAAAAGGGAAAACAAAAAGAAAAAAACAUAUGAAAAAAUUGACACUCUCCAAAAGGUAAAAAAAAUAACUUAUCAGUUUAAAAGUGAUGAAAAAUUACAUUUGAAGAGACAAUAACGAAUGAUCUUUAAAAAGACGCAUAUUGAAUAAAUAACUCCUAAACAAGUACAAAUUGGAGGAAUAAAGAGACACAAAUUGAAUAAAUCACCCCUAAAAGGGCAUGGAUGUCUUCAUACUUAAAAGUAAAAGAGAUCUCUAUUAGUUAUGGAUAUGAUAGAAAGAAAUGAUAUCAAAACUAUAUUGUCAUUGACAAAUCAUCUUCUUUUUAGAUGACCUUUUACAUAAUAUGGAAUGAAGAAAAUUCCAAACUUAUGAAUUAUGUAACAAUGUCCAAGUAGAAAACAAUUGUCCAAAAUGGAAUACAAAAUUAAACUAGUUGAUGAAAUGCCAAUGUCAAUGUCAAAAUAAUUUGAGGCUGUUGAAUAUAAAUGAAUCUGAAGUCCAAUGCCAAAAGACAUAAAAACCAUUGGAUAUCAAUGGGUUAUUAUGCUAUUAUAGUAUAAGGUUUUCUGCAAAACCCUAAUAUCAAUUUUCAUAAUUAUUUGGUUAUAUGAUUGACAGUUAAUGAAAGACUUGAUAUAUCCUUUAAAAUGUAUAUGGAUGCAUAAAUGUGUUAAAAUUCCUAAAGAAUUCAAAAUGUAUUAAGCAACCAAGUCCUUGAGGAAUUAUGUGCCUAAAGCAAAUAAUUCACUGAGCUAUUAAUAUUUAAAGUAAUAAUUGAAAAUUUCAUAUCAUAUUCUAAAUGAUGUCAUGUAAUAUACUCAACUAAAUUAUGUCCUUGUAUAGACUAAAAUAAAGGUUUGUACUUGUUACAAUCUUAUUAGAAUUAUUGAAGAGUUUUAUAAGAGUGAUCAAUUAUCUAAUGAAAAAUCUUAGAAAACCAAAUUUUAUCCUAACUUACAAAUGAAGCACAUUCCAAAUGAAAUGUUCGUCCAUGAAUUAGUAUACACAAAAAGUCCUAAACUACUUUCAUAUUGAUAAAUCACAUUCAUUAAGUUCUUCAAUGCAAUUUGUUCACUUGAAGUGAAAAAAAUUCCUUGUCUUAAAGAAGAUAAUAAAAAAUUCCUUUGGUCCAAAAAUACUUUUAUCUUGAUAUUAGUGGUGCACUAUGUGUUUUGUAAAUUAUACACGAUCAAAUAUAACAUUCUUUCUUAACUUGUUUGUAAUAUAAUUUUAUACCUACUCAAAAACAUUGGAAUAAAGUCAAACACGUUUUACAAUAUCUUUGUGAAGCUACUAACAAGAGUUUGUUUUAUUCAAAAUGAAAAUAAUCUCAACCGAUUGGAUAUGUUGAUGUUGGUUAUCUUUCAACACCCUCACAAAACUUGAUCUCAAAUGGGGUAUAUAUUUACUUAUAGUAGUGUAAUAGUAUCAUAGAGAUCAAUUAAAUAAAUAGUGGUAGUCAUUUCUUUAAAUUAUUUAAAAAUACUCUCUAUCAAAUAUAAUUUUACCAAAUUACAUGAAAAUAAUGAGACUUGUACUAUACAAAUUAAAGGGGUAUUUAUAAAGGAUGAUCGAACUAAAUAAAUCUUCAACAAAUUCUUCUAUACUCAUAAGCUUCAAGAAAAAGGUGAAAUUAAUAUUCAACAAAUUCGAUUAUAUGAUAAUCUAAUAAAUUUUUUCAUAAAUGUGCUACUAUCAAUUACAUUGAAAAAAUUAAGAUAUAAUAUAGAAAUACAUAGAUUGAGAUAUCUACAAAUUAAAGUGUUGAAGAAACCAUAAUUAUGUUUACAUUAAGGGGAAAAUAUUAAUAUAAAUAUAUUAUGCCUUUUUUUUUCUUUAUCCAAAUUUGUUUUAUUAGGUUUUAUUAUGAAUGUUUUUAAAGAGGUAGUCAUAAUGGUCAAAUUAUUUAAAGAAUGUUAUACUUUUUUUUUUCUUUAUUAAGGUUUUUCUAUUGGAUUUUUUCUGAUAAUGUUUUAAAAAGGCAUAUUUUUAUGAUUAUGUAAGAAGAAGUGUUAUAAAAAUAUGUGAAUGAUCAAUAUCGAUGUAAAUUUAUUCCUAUCUCUCUAUCAAUAAAUAAAUAAAUAAAGACUUGUUUAUGAAAUUCUAUUUUAUUUUUCUCUCAACAUUCUCAUUUAUUUUAUUUUUCUAAUUCUUUAUUUUACAACAUUUUUAUUAUGAAAAUGCAAAAACAAAUCAAAUAUAACUAAAAUUAAAUAAAAAUUUAUAAAACUUUCAAUUAUUUAAAAUAAUUAAAAUACCAUAUAUUUUAAAUUAUUUUUUCUUUUUUCACCCAUUUUUUUCCAACAUUUUCCCUCCCCACCGAAUAGUCAAACCGCAUCAAUCAUGGGCAUACUACUUACAUAGGCCAAGUUUUAAAAAAAUUAAAAAGCUGAAGCGAUAAUGUGGGACCUACGGGUCGGUGUCUCUAUUUUGGCUUGACCAUUUCUCCUUUUGCAGCCGAGAGGAAAAAAAAAAAAAAAACAAACAAACAAACAAACUAGAAGUAGCUUUCUUAUCAAGAGGCCUAUGCUCUUGAAAAAUCCAAUUAGGAGACAUCGUUGCCAAUAUUUUGGUCUAUUGAAUCAAAUAAAAAAAAAAAAGAAGAAAAAAAGCAUGGAAAUAUUGGCGUAUUAGUAGAAGGUGGGGUGGUUAGAAUCAAUGAAUCCGCCUACCGAGGCUCAGGAAAUCUCAGAUGUGGACCUCACACAAGAUUUGACACGUUUUUUUUUUCCUGUGAGCAUGGGCGGAUUCGACACGUCAGAGAAGAAAAGGAAAAGAAAAUAGGAAUUAUGCUAACGUGUCCUAAGGUUCCUGACAGCCCAUGGAUCCAAAACCCUCAUUGGACAGUGGGGGGAAGUUCAACGUGAACAUCAAAUUUUAGGGUUGCCAAGUCAUCAAGAUGAAAAUAUUGGUUUUUAUGAUCGCCACAUGGCGCAUUAGGUCAGCUGUGCUGAAGGCUGAUUCAAUUAAAUCGAUCAUUCAACACUGAAAAAAAUCAGUACGUAUCAGGAAAAAUUGGAGAAAAUCAACAAAUGAUCGACUUUUCUAUCUAAAUAUCUUUUUGGUGGUUAGCGAGAUUUGAGGGAUAGCUUUGAAUAUAGCAUAUGGAGCAACUCAUGUUUGAUAUGAUACUAUUUAGGGAUAGCUUCCUUGGCUUUAGUUUAUUCAAACAACCAUAAUUCAACGCCCAAGACUCAUAGUUUAUGAUAGUAGAAUGUGCUCAAUGUUACAAAGACAAAUUCUGUCAGCAAAUCAGCAUAUGAUAUGGACAAUAUUGUAAGAAAAAGGCAGAUUUUAUAGAAUUCAGUGCUUUCAGUGCUUGUUUUUAGAAUGCAUUGCAGGAAGACAAAUACAGAGUGAGCUACUCUAGAGUACACAAAUCUAUAGAAAAAGCACAAGAAAGAGAGAGAUGAGGGUUUAGAUCACUUCACUUGUAAGUGUAUCAUCAUGAGGAAGGUGUAUGCUGAGAUCAUCCAAGUCGGCACAUCCGUUGAUGCUCAAGCCAUGCUCGUUGGCUAAAUGUAGUAGGCAUAUGAAACACAAAUGAGGCGAGAUAUCCUCCAUUGCAGCAGCUGCUCUGCUGUGAUCAGGAAAACUGGCCAGGAUGUGCCUAAAAGAGACUGCUUCUUCAUCCUUAGAGAGAUGAAAUAUCCAACAUUAGGAGUAGCUUUCCAUAGUAUGAAGGAUAAGAAUAAGAAGCAGAUAGUCAUGGAAGCACUUGAGAAGAUAAUGAAACAAAUAUCAUGGAAUCUUAGAAUUGUUUCAAUUGGUAUGUGUCAUGUAUUCAUACCAUGAAAAUGGUCAAAAACUUCAGACUGAAGCAAUCUUGCUUUGCAACAUCCAAACAACAGCAAACCUGAUGCUUCAUGAUUUGAUAAUUUGGUUUCUACAACAAUUUUCUUCUCAUGAAUCAUGGUUAGGGGAUAAUCCCUACCAUGUUAGUAAGAUUGCAGAUUGUUACGCUAUUUUUAAUAAUGCAAAAAACAAGGCCCCACCAGUUCAGCGGUCAAAAACUUGUCCCUGAUGAUGUUUAUUUUUUUGGUUCAAGUUAAACACACAAUGACGUGCCACUAUCUUUUGCUUUUCCAUUUUACUUUUCUUGACCAGCUAGGCAUCAUCAUUUCGCUUAUCCAAUUCCCUUCAAUAUUCUUUCUCUCUUGCUUUUCUUUUGUUCACCUAUCUUGCUAAUAACUUAGAUGGCGGACUAAGACUCCCACAGGGACAACUGCAUCUUACCGUUUUCUUCUCAAGCAGCAAAAAAAUUUCAAAUAUCAAGAUCACUAUGGAUCACGAGAAAGGGUUUUGACAAAAAGAAUCAGUUGCAUAAUAGAAUGACAUAUCAAUAGUCCAUACUUGAUAACCUUGUGUCCGUUUAUCCACUAUAUCCUAAAUCAACAUUUACUGAUUGAAGAGUAAUCACCAGGAAACCAGAACAAAGAAUGCCAAGAAAUUGGCAUUAUAAGGAUCAGGAAUAUAAACUGUGGUAAAAUGACAUGACAAAAAAUUGUUCUAUGGUAAUUCCAAGAAAGGAAAAUCAAGUGCAUUCAGAUUCCUCUGAUAAGUCAGCAAGAUUUUUAUAGAUACUUCUACCCUAAUGCUUUACUCAUGUGGUGUGCACGUGGCGGGUGUUUGUUUUGCAUAAAAAAUUUGAAGGAAAAAAAAGGAUGAAAGAAAAAGGAUAGCAAGAACUCUUCUAUAUUUGGUUCGGUUACAAUAAUACAAGGAACAUCCAAUAUCAUAAAAAGAUGUUAUGAAAAAAAUAACAAGAUAUUCACUUACCUUGACUGAUGAUUGAGUAGACUUUUGCAUAUGGCCCCAAAGAGUUUCUUUUAGUGCCUGGACAUCAACUUGUUUAGAUGUUUUAUCAUACUGGACUUCAAUCUUGUUUACCUGAAUUGUUUGAAUAACAAAGCAAAGCAUUAACACAAAACGUAAAAAUAUUUUCAAUGCAAACUAAUUCUGUUUGACCAAUAAUGCAAAGCAUAUGUUGGAAAUAUCAGUUAAAUUACAAAAUAUUGCCUCCUGAUGAAAUAUAAUAUGCUGGACAUGCUUCAUGAUCUUAAUAUAUGAAGCCAUAUAUUCAGGUUAUAAAACUAACAGACUCCCAUUUAAUGAGCCUUCCUGAUUCCUAGAUUCAGGCUCAAGUGCAUGGGUAAACAUAUACACAAGGAUUAUCAAAACCAACCUGACGAGGUUGAGAGACAAGAGUGCUGGAGUCCUCCAAAUCACUGUGAAAAUUUCCAUUGUCAAAUGCGUCAUCAAACCCAUUUUCAUCAUCCCAUGAUGGAGAUACACCAAAAUCGUCAACUUGUUGCCUUGAUUCAUCUGAAAAUCGGGUAAGGAUUAGCAGUGGCAAUUCGUGUUGGUGGGUCAAGUUCGUAUUGUGUCAAAGCCUAGGAAUUCUACUACAUAGCUCAACCCAAACCUGACACAAAUAAUAAUUGUGUCAAAAACAUAAACUCAAAUACUACCUAAUUAUUAAAUAGGUAACAUGUCGUGUAGUCCAUUUAACCCAUUUGAUAAUUAGGUUCUCUUAUUUAAUAAAACAGGUUGAGUAAGGUCUUAUGUAUGUCUAUAUGAUUAAUGUUUCAGCUAAACAUAUUUAUGACUCAAUUGACCUAUUUAUUUAAAAACAAAUUUCAAAUGAAUCAAAUAUGGGUUAAAUAGUUUAAAGAUAUAAUUCAGUUAAUAACGAGAUUAUUAGAUGGGUCAAUUUGGGUCAAAUUCAAUUCGUGUUAUGCAGGUUGACCAAAAAAUUACCUAUUUAUUAAACAGGUUAUGCAACUCAGCACGAAUUUGACUCAAACCCAUUUAUGCUCAACCAAAACUCAUGAAAAGCGUGUUGGUGAAUUACAUCAAACUUUGUCACCCUUAGUAAGGAUUGAUAACCAACAAGAACAAUAUGUGCAUAUUCUAUCAGUUGGAGUACAGUAGUUGAUGCAUCAUGAAUGAAUAAGAAUAACAAAAGGAGGGGGACAUGAUGAUGGAAAUUCUCAUGUAAAAUGUAGUAAGCAGCUUUCAUAAAAGAUAAAAUGUGUAUCAUUGCAAUGAAGCAACAAAUAAAAGCCUAAAGAGGCAGUACAAGAGAAAAAAUCCCAGAAAAUUGAGUAAUUUUGAAUCAUCACAAUCCCCUUCUCUGGUGUUUACAUCCAGUAUCUGAUAUGUGAAAUGACUAACAUAUUAGAGUUCUGCACUACUAAGUAGACGAGGUUAUUAAUACUUCCUAGAUCUCCUAGAGAUUUUAAAUCAUAUGUGAGUAAAACAAUCUUACCUGAGAACCUUCUUCGCCUCCUCCCAAGACACUACAGGCAGACCAGAUGUUUCAUCAAGAAAAUUAAAAGCAAAAAUUAGCAUGAAAAAUCUACAGCAAAGCAACCAUUUUAAAAUACCAUUUUCACAAACCAAACGGUAAUCUACAAUCGGUACACCUAGAAUUACCAUUAUAUUAGGUAGAAGAAAUAACUUGACAAGAUUCUCCGGCUGAUAGUGGCAAUCUUCUGGAAGUUUUGUAUUGCAAGGAGCUCUAUUAGCAGGCAGAAACAAUGACUUGGGAUUUUUGGGAGGAGCGAAGACAUCUGAGAUCUCUUUGUCCAAGGCUUUUGUAAAAUCAAUAUCAGGUUCUGCCUGUUUUUUACCCCUUGCUCUCUUAGUUGUUAAUGGUGAUCCCUUUUCUGUAGCAGGAUCAUCCUCUGGACCUAAUAAACAGAUAACAUGUUAUGUAACCACACUAAUGAAUUUCCACAAUAGAAAGGCCAAUUAAUAUAUCAACUACCUCCAGCCUCCUAAAGCUUACCUUUCACCUUCCGAUACUUCCAAUGAUCAGGACCUGCCCAGGCAUUUUGUUUCGAAGCAAAACCCAAACUUAAAAACAAAUAAUCAUCAACUCUCUCAAAUCUGUCAUCCAUAUCAGGUUCAACAACAGUAAAUGGUCCACUUUCCUGCAGAGUAAGUACCAACUUGUGAAAAAACUUAAUUUUACUCUUUGGUUUAUCAAGAUAAAUGUAUUAAAGUUACAAAAUAAAUAACAGACAAAACUCCUUUUUUGAGCGGUAGGAAACAGACCUCAUGAUGAACUGGAAAAACUGGAUCUGCACCAUAGGAAUCUUCAUCAACCACACUUGUUCUGUCAUCAUGAUCAAAGGUCCAGGUAUUGCAGUUCUCAAAUGCAUCAACAUCCGACUCAGCCUCGUUAUAAACUGAAUUAACUUGCUCUUCUGAUUUAUGGGCAGAAGAAAAUGUAUCUAAUGGCCUUUGAUUGUUUUCAUCAAAUCGAUCAACUAUAUUCCUUAAAGUUGGCGAAAUUUCAUCUUUUGUACGCAUGUUCAAUACCAUCUGUUCGAUGCUUUCUACAAAGAAAAGAGGAAUAAUUAUUCUGUGAAAGAAAACUGCAAUUUCCUAUUUAUGUGCAUGAUAACACCAAAGAGAUUAGAAUAUUAACAAAUGCAACACACCUUUUGCAAAAGAAAGAUCUAUUGUAUCUGAUUUGUCAAGUUCAGUUGCACAUGACAUACAGUUCCCUGGUAUUUCAAAGGAAUCAAAAAGCACCCGACAGCCACCAUACACUCCAAGAUUGUUCAACAAGAGGCCUUUGGCUCCACCUUCAUCAAACUGUGCAGAUGUUUGAUGAUAGAGAGGGUCGACGGCAAAUGCAACUAAGAAACCAAAGAAAUUUCUUUAAAACCUCAUCUAAAUCACAAACUGGUACCAUAUAUAAUACAGGAUUGGACUCACCAUCGAACUUCUUUAGAUUAAGAACCUCAAAAGACGAUUCCAAUGUUGACAAAGGUGAUAUCUGCAUAUAUUUACUUCAGUCAGUUUGUAGUCUCGUCAAUUAACCUAUUCUACAAGUCAGAACUAUUAACCUUCCUAUCUAGCUCUUUCUUAGAAUGCCCUUCCUCUUGCUCACUGUUGACAUUAGCAUCCUCCACCACAUUAUCUGGCAUCAUAAGUCAAUAUAUUUAAAACAGAAAAACAUAGAAGGAACACAAGGUGCAACAAAAUGUUACAAGUCAGCAACUCAAAUAGAUAGGCCUCCAACCUCUUAACAGUUAGCCUCACAAGCAAAAGCUAAAAAAGAAAGUGAAACCAAACUGCAGCAAUAAAGAGAAUAUAAAAGAAAGGAACAAUAGAACAAGCAAAAAACUUCUAAAUUCAAACUUCAAUAGUUACCUACUAAUAGAACUGUAACAUAAAUAUCCACUUAGAGGAUGAUAAGUCAAUUUAAGUAUUGCAAAGGCAACUAUAUAGCAAGCUUUCCAAAGGAUGAAAUUUGUAGUGUUAAAAGUGAAAGUGGAAUACAUAUGUGAUAUGAGGCUUGAAGAAUAAAACCAUUUCCAUACCAAACAAGCAUACAUUAAAGAGUAAAAAGGAAAAUUAACCUUGUUCAUUUUCCUGACCCACUCUAUUAAUCCCACCAAGGACCUUAUAUGCCUCUGAGUGCACUGAAUCCACCCUCAAUGAGUAAAUUUUAACCCCGGCUUCAAGAGUGCAACUUGCCUGUAUAGAGGAAAAUGUUAAAAUAAAAAAAUAGAAAAAAAAUAAAUAAGAAGAAUGCAGAAAUUACAAAAGAAAAAUAAAACAUAAAAAAAAAAAUUUAGGGCCUGUUUGGCAACAUUUUCAAAAACCAUUCUCAAAAAUUAAUUUUUGAAAACAAUUCUUAGAAACAAUUUUCAAUUGUUUUCAAGAACAAAAUUUUAUUUGAGAACUUAUAUAUGGAAAUUAGUUUUCUUAGCCUAUUCUCUAUGAAGGUAUUGGAAGCCUUUGUAUAAUGUAAAAGUUCUUGACCUCUUCUCCAUGUUUCAAAUUGUUCCUUAACAAACUCUAUUAAAAACAAAAAAACAGAAAAAAAACACCUGCAAACAUUUCAAAUUUGUCAAACCUGUUUUUAAAGUUGAAAAACUGUUCUAGAACAAAAAACUAUUUCCAAACAAGGCCUAAAUUUCGGACAUAAGCUCUCACUUAUUUUUUUCAUCUAUCAUUUUAAAAAGCUAAAGUCGGUCUUGAGGCAUUUUGCCUAAAUGAAGGGAUGCGUAAGCCUUGAGGUGGAACAAGGAGUAAACCUCAACUUAAACAAAAAUAAAUAAAUAAAUAAAUAAUACGAAAAAGAAAAGAAAAAAUCUCAAAAAAAAAAAAAAAAACUGGAAAAAUACUAAGACAAUCACAUGAAAAUUGAAUAAUAAGCAAAUCAUAUAAUCAUAAUAAUCAAAUAAAUCGUUUUUUAGGGCCUAUGGUUUUCAAUUUAGUUCUUCUCUCUCUCUUCUAAAAUUCAGCUCUUCUCAUGGCUUCAUUAAAUAAUCUUCAACAUUAUCAUCAAUAUCACCAGUAGGAUCUUCCUUGGAAACAUAGUCAUAUUAAUUGCUCUAUUGUCCUCCCCUUUAGUGUUAACGUCCACUCAUUCUUCUUCUUCAUCUAGUAAUUGCAAUUAUCUAUCAAUAAACAGAUAAUGAUUAUAUAUGAGCUCAACCACCACAAUGGCCAACUAAAUCCUUUGUUAAUUAUUUAACCCUAGUCUUGGACCCCAAAUAAAACCUGUAAAUCUAAACCAGAACCCCACAAAAGCAAAAUUCAUUAAAACCAUUGAAUAUUGAGGUUUAAACCUCUUACAAAAUAUAUACAAAAAGCCCAUAAAGGUCUUAAACCUAUUAUAAGCCUUAGACUAUUUGAGGCUUAAGCCUCGAGGCUAUAGCCUAAAGGUUGUAAGCCUUGAUUACCCAAUACUGAGGCUAUUGCCUCAAGGCUAAUUUGCACAGCCUCACCUUUAGGUGAGUCUCAAGGUAUAAGCCUCAAUUGCCUUUUAAAACACUAUUUGCAUCAAUAAAGAAAUAAAAAAUUUCAGGGGUGUCCAAUUCCUUGUGAAGUAGACUGGUUUACUCAUGAACCAAAACCAGAGCAUAAAGUUUAACAGUUAUAAGAGCAAACAGCAAAGACUGAUGAGUAGUUUACUGUCUUAAGGAUUAUAUGUCCAAUAUACUGUUGAACUGACGGUUAUCCGAUCAUGGAAGAAUGUACAAUAUGUUCAUGUGUCUAAAAAGUUAUGUAAAGAAGAAGGACAUUAUGGAGUAGUCCAAAAUAACACAUGCUGAUAAUCAUAAACAGUGUGCUUAUAGCCUUAUCAUAUAUUUACUCCAUGAAUUAUCAAUAUCAUGUGGCAUACCUUUUGAAAAUUUGUCUCCGCGUCAUCUUCUUCUUCAACUUUAAUUAUCUCGCAAAGAUGAUCUAUUAGAUUCAGCUCCCAAGUGUUCUUUUGAUUGAUUUUCUGAACCAACACAACCCAAAAGACAAACUAAACCCUGAGUUGCAAGAUACAAUAGCGUACUGUUUGGUGACUGAGAAAAUUGAGGAAAAUGAAAGAAAACAUAACUUUAAGUCCUACAUCUUCACUUGUUCCUUUUUCUAAAAAUAAAAUAUAAAAAAUAAUAACAACAUUACCAACUAGCCCAAGUACUUGUCUUCGGUUAAAUUCAAUCUAUUUUUCCCGGUUCUUUUUAAUAAUCAAAAUUUAAAUUUCUUUUUUUUUUUCCCUUAGAAAUCAAACUGAUCUGUCAAAUGGGGACCCGGAGAAUUCGGUUGGCGUUGAAAAGGUUGUCCAUUAUACAAAGGUAGAGUGAGAGAAAUUACAGACAUUUUCGCUAGCGAGUUUGAUGCAAUUCUGAAACAAUUCAAGAAUCUGCUCUUUGCCGAGGCACGGAUCGGGAUCGGGAGGAGGAGGGGCAUGAGCAGCCACGGACUUUCGGCGAAUAGAAGCUGCGCGUGCUGCUCGUGCCUGAGCCCGCUCGAGUUGGUCGUCAUUGGAGCCCAAGAAGAAGGGACUUGUGGGAGAUUGGAUCCGCGCAGACAUUAGGGCUCUCUGCUUCUGCACCGUCGCUGGAUUGGGGCUUAGGGUUUCAGCCAUUAGUAAAGAUAAUCACUGUAUUUUUUCUGAUCUGAAAAAAAAAUUAUGUUUCCGAAGCUUCACUGUUGAGAAAAUGCAGCGAAGAAGAAGCGGAGUUGCGAUUUUCCCUCCCUUUUCUUUGUUUGAAUUUUGGGGAGAAAGAGGCUCUGCUCUGCAUAAUGGACAGAAGAAAAAUUAUGCCUUAAGUAAAACGACGUCGUUUGGGUUCCACCGUUAAAUGAAACGAGCCCCGUUAAGCUCUUUUGCAAGAUUUAGGAAUUAAGAACAUUCAAGAAAUUCCAUGUUAAUAAAAAAAUGAGGUGAUUUAAUAUCAUACAUGAUGAAUACUCGAUAGUGGAAAUAAAAAUAAUUUUUUAAAGAUAAAAAAUAUGUUCAUUUUAAAUUAUUUUCGCCUUGUAUAUUUUAAAUAAACAUUUUUUGUAAAUCUUGUUUGUUUUUUUACGUGAAUUUUACCUUUUUCUGUUAAACUAAAAGUAACUUGUUAAUAUCAAUUAACAUAAUUAAAGUAAACCUAUUAUCAACAGGUUCAAUUUAAUCAUGUGAGUUAAUAUCAAUCGAGUUAUUUUUAAAUAAACAAAAAAUAAAGAUAAAAUAAAAUAUUUUGACUUUUUCUAUUGGGUCAAAAAAAAAUACCACUACUUAUUUUUUAUAUAAUUUUUACUUUUCUAAUUUUAAAACAAAUACCAAAGAGACCGAGUUGUUCAAAUUUCCCCCAACAAUACCAUACCAUGUGAAGGAGAAAAAUCAAAAUUCAAAGAAUAGGAAUGAAUUUUCAUUUAUGUUCCCAUUUCUAAUAAAUAAUCCAAACCAGUAAUUAAUGGGAAAUAGUAUGAAUUUCUCCUUCCUAUUACAAUGUGGGAGUUCAAAUGCCAGGAGUAAGAUUCCCAUAUUCAAUGUAAAUCAGCAACAGAGGAAACAUCAGAAUAAUUGUGCUAAGAGAGACAGAAAAAAGGAGAAACAAUUUAUAGAGAAGCCCAUCCAUUCCAUGUAUACAGGGGACUAAGCGAAAGUUAACAGCAAAUAUUAACUCUCCCUGAAUCCAAAUGAAGCACCCCCAAACCACUUUAUAGGCUUUCAGUAACUGGGAAAUCUUCUUGCACAGCAGCUCUUCUGCUAGUCCUUGCCAAAGCUGCUGCAUAUGAUAAUCAAUGGUCAAUUUGGUGACGAGGUGAAAAAAUUUGUCAGUGAUCCCAUGUCUUAAUUGGAACCCCUCAACAGAUACGCUACGAUGCAUCCCAACAAGCCACCUGCCACAACCUGUAUAAAUUCAAACCAAGUGAGCGUUGUGUCAUCUCAUGUUUAUGCAUAAAUAAAAUCAAGUCCAUCAGUUGUGGUUGGGUUAGAAGAAGAGAAAAAAAAAAAAAAAAAACCAGCUUGGUAGUUGGUAGAAAUGAAAAGGCUUGAAGCAGGAACAAGUUAGUAAUUUGAAAUAGAAGUCAGCAUGGAGGGCAACAUACCUGAAUAGGAGUGUGCCCAAGUGAAUCACGCAGAGGUCUGCUACUGGAUAGUGGGUGUUCAGGAGGAAACUCACAUACUAUUUGAUUCAGUAACUGCAAUGAGGGUAAAAUGAAAUCAUUUUUAAUAGAAAUAUAUGAAACAAGUGAGUAUGGUCUUAGGUACAUAGUCAGAAACAUGUAUAUCUACACUACACAAAUACAGUGAUGACAUGAAUUUAUCCAUCUUGUUCAAAUCCCUCUUCCCUUUCUUUUUUGAUUUACUUCUUGGGAACCCACAGUACAUUAUAUCAGCUGCCUAACAUUAUUUUUUUCCAUCUUUUGUAAUCACAUGGUGGACUCCAUAACAUCUUAAAUGUUAAUGUAACUUUCAACUGAAGGCUCACGUUACAGUAAGCUCUAGCCUCAAGCAGGGUUUGCACUUUCCCAACUUUGAGGCUCUAGAAGACAUCUCAAGGUUCAAUUUUGGUAUAUCGUAGAACAAGGACACUGAGAACAGCCUCAGUGUUCUACAUCAAUACAAGACUUGUGAAACACCAACCUCAAAAGCCAAACACAAACAAAUAGAACACUAAAAAGAAAGCAAAAAUGGAAGUGUCCAUGCAACAUAUAACAAUGGAAAGUCAACAACAGGAAACCAAACUUUAUCUGAUGUGACAGAGAUCUUACUUCAGCCUGUCGACCGGCAUGCUGUCUGACUCCAGAGGCGUCAUACAUCACCUGCAAGUAUUUGAAUAGUAGUCAUGCUCGCAUUCCUCAAACAAAUACAGGGAAAUUUGUCCAGAGAAAUAAUUUCUGAACCAACUAGAAAAAAGACCACUGGUAACUAAUGAUUUUAGAAUUGGGAACGUAUUCUUUUAGACCAAAUUAAAAGGUUGGACUGGCUGUAUGCAACCUCAAAAUGUCAUUUAUUGACAGCUACACCCUGAUCCUUUCUAUCUCUGUUCUUGAACCCCUCCAUGUCAAGAUCCUACUAAAAUAUUCAAUCACAUAACUCUUAGUCAAUGGGGUCACUUUGAUUGUUGGUUCAAGUUUCAUUUUUAUUUCUCAUGUAGUGGGAAAAAAUUGAUAUGAAGGGUUUAGAGUCUUCAACCCUCAUGAACAAGUAACUAAUUCUAUGAACGUAGCUUAAGGUAUGGUUAAAGGGGAUUUACUUUUCUUUGCUUGCAAAUCUGUAUUUCAGACUCCAAAAAGUUAUUUCAUAAAACAUAAUACUUUAAUAAUCUAAGUCCCAUUUUAAUGGUUCUAUACAGAUUACAGACUAUUCAUUCAAACUCUAACUACAUAAAAGAAACACCAUAAAGAUAAAAGAUCUAGGCAACAUGAUUCAGCAUUUGAAAUUAUGGCAAUCAACAAGCAUAAGCUAUGAAAAAAAGGAACCUGGUUGCAGAGUACAUACAACACAUGCAAAGACUAUUGCUAUGGCAAAAGCAGGUCCUCCUGUUCCAUCUUGUAGGCCUAUAGUCAACGCCAAAGCUGUUACUGUUGCAGAAUGCGAGGAUGGCAUUCCACCAGAAUCAAUCAUUUUUUUAGAAUCCCAUCUCCUCUCCUUAUACCUGAACACCUAGGAGAAACAUAUCAAGAACUUGAACCAGCAUUUCAGAUUAUACGUAUAAUUUAGAAACUUUCAAUUUAUCAAAUCCAGAUUUGAAGCAAUUGAAGUUCAACCGAAAUUAAAGCCCCUAACAGUAUAACAGUAGAAAAAUUAUAUGAAUUGAUUGAAGUCCGAAUAGAUUUAUUAUUCAUUUGUAUCUUCAUCCCUCUCCCAUAAACAUCAAUUUCCACCACAUUCAACAUUCUCAAAACCACAAAAACAUCAACAAAAACUGUGGGCAAAGUAUCGACUCAAAGCUUCAAUCCUUCUUCAACAGAAUCCUUAUUUUUAAUUGUGAUUUGUUCUGACUUCUAACUUAUGACACAAUAGAGAUAAAGGGAGCUAAGCAGUUUUUUUUCAAAUAAUAAAAAAAUAUUGUCAAAUGAAAUCUUGUCAAAGCUUCCCCUUUGUGUUUUCAUGUCACCAGUUUCUUCAUUGUUUGCAUCCAAACCAACAAAAGGCAAAUUCGGACACAUAUUCCAAAAGUCAUGAACCCUAAAUUUGUGUAUGGUUGCAUAGGGUUCUGGCACCCAGAACUGAGACUGAAGACCCUCAUUCGAAUCCCACAGCUAAAGAAAACAUAGUUGGAAUAUUCCAAAUUCCAGAACCCGAAAUCCAAGCAUAAAAACAAACAAACAAACGAGUUUUGAAAUUCUCAGAAGAAAUCUGUAUCAAGGAAAUCAAACGACAUCGUUAGGAAUGAAUUGAAACGAGGGAGGAAUGUACGGACCAGGUGGUGAAGAGCUUGAGGAAUUGGGCGAUGGCGAAGGAGAGGAAAGCAGAGAUGAGAGGGAGGUUGAACGGAGGAGACCAGUAAGACGUCGUUUGAGAAUCCCCCGCUGAAUCUGCUGCCCCGAUCGCAUCCUCCAUUUUCUUACGACCAACAAAAAUCAAUCACAAAACAAAGAAAAACACCUGAUCGAUUGCCUUGAUUUGAUUCAAAACACAUUCAAAUCUUCAUAUACUCUCUCUCUAGAAAAAUGGUGGGAGAUGAGAAAGAAAGGAAGCCAUAUUGGACCAAUGAGAUUCUGAAUAGUGGCGCCCAUUUGGGGUCUUGGUCUGACUCUGACUAAUGUGAAAGUGGCUUAUUCGGUUGGGAAGAAACUAAGUCAAGGAAUUAUUUUUUAUGCCUUGUGAUGGAAAAAGUGUUGAGUUAUUCCAAUGUCCAAAUCCAUGUAAGAGUCGCACAGACGACAAGUUUGACGCAUUAUCACCCAACAAUGUAAAUACAAAAAAAUAAUAAUAAUAUUAAAAAAAAAAAAUUAAAGGCUUGAUUUAUUUAUUGUCUAAGAUAUUGAUUCCACACAUGUGGAAGUAUUAAUUUCUAUUGAGAAAAUAUAUAAUAAAAUCUAAGCAAUUGGAUAAAGGUAUAAAUAUAUAAAAUUACGAUGCGAAUAAGAUCGUGUAUAAUACUUUCUCGAAGAGUAAGUUGAGAAAACCAUUUUUUGUAUUUGAAUUAUUCGGUAUAAUUUUGCUUAUGAAGAAAAUUAAAAUUUGUUUUAAAAAGGAAAAAAUGGUAUGUUUGAUUGAUGUUUUUGAAAACCGUUCUAAAAAAUAGUUUUUAAAAACAGUUAUUUGUGUUUUCAGAAAGAAAAAAAAAUUGUGUUUGGGAACAAUUUUUAUUCUCAAAAACAAAAAAAUAUAUGUUUGGUUGAAUUAAUAAAAAAGUUUUUUACAAUGAGCAAAACAAAAAAACAUAUUUAAUUUUUUAAUUAAUAAAGUGUUUUCUUUCAUUAAUUUGAUAUUAUAAAUAUAUAAAUAAUUUUCAUAUUUAUAAUUCAUUUAAAUUAAAAAAAAUUAUUCUAUUUUGAAAAUUUUAUACCAUUUAUAAUUUUUUUAAACUAAUGAUGAUUUUAUAACCAUAUGUAAGUAUAUUAAUUUCAAUGAUUUAAGGAAGAAGAAAGGGAUUGUGGAUGGGGGUGUGGUAGUUGGGUGGAGUUUACCUUUGUAGAAACAUAAAAAGCAAAUAGGAAAAUACACAAAGAAGGAAGAGAAAACAUGAAAAACAAUCCAUGCAUUGAACAUUAAAAAAACAAUGAAAACAUCUUUUUAUUGUUCUCAAAAAAGUGGUUUUUGAGAACACGAAAAACACAAAAAACACAAAAAACAAAACACACGCCCUUCCCCAAACAAGUUUUUUGUUUUCAAGAACAUAAAACAAUUCUUGAGAACAGGAACCAAACAUAACCAAAAGCUUUGCUUCAUUUCAUCAAAAGACAAAAAGGGCUUGUCUGAACAAAAAUAUUACAUUCAUUGUCCCCUUCUUUGGGGGAUUGGUUGGUUGGUUGGUUGGUUGGUUGGUUUCUGUACAUAACAAACUUGAGUCUGCCAAUUGUCUCAUUUUUUUUCAGUUCUAUUUCCACAACUUAUGCCAUCAGAACCUCCUGAGAGGCCAUGUACAUAAUAACACACACACGCUCACUCUAGGAAUGGUCAAGAAGAAGCCUUUCUUUACAAGUUUGGGGCAGGUUGGUUCAGCAGGGGCGCAUCACUGCCUAUGCUAGACAUUGGUGUAUGCCUUCGGGAAUGGCGUUUUGUUGGGACUAGCUCAGGCUUCUGCACCAUCUCCACUUCAUUUGCUUCAUCCAUCUCACUGUCAUCAUCCCCAGCUUUGAAGAUUGGGUGGAAGUAGGCUUCCCUAAGGUAGCCUUUCAGGUUCAGGUUUGGCUCUCUUACUCGUUCCAGCGUAUCUUUCAUCAUCGCUUCCUGAAAAGCAAAAACCCACCAAGAGAUCAAUUCAAGUUACCAGACAACAGCUGAGGAUGCAUGUGAAACAAUGCCUGCUGAUGGGACUUUACAUUUUAUAUAGCAAGGAAUAUGCUCUAUUGGUGGGACUAAGGGCAUGUAAUGUUGUAGAGGACACAGAUGAUAAGCACAUAUAAAUCUAAUGAAGCAUCCUCUACCUGCUGCCCCUGUAUACUAGCGUGUCUCAGUUCAUUUCCCAUAGUUUUUGGUUUGUUUGCUAAGUUUUCUAGACUUGUCUAGUUUGGUUCCUCGGUAUGUAUAUAAGAACUUCAGAAGAUUACAACUAUUAAGUAACCACCCUGAUCAAUUCUCAUACCAACAUCUCUCAUGUCAAGUAGUAGAAAAGGACUAAAACCAAUUCCCUCAUCCUACAUAACAAGGUGACUCACUAUUUGGCCCUUUUCCACACUCAAGCAGGUACCUGUGCCCCUAGAAGGUUCCCAUGUCAAACAACUGGUAUCCAUGCUGAUUAUGACAAUUUUUUUUUCUUACAUGAUUUUCGAUUUAAAUAAGCCAGUCAAUCAAGAAUAUGGUGUCAUGCAAAAACAUGGAUAAGCUACACACAAGUCCAAGAAGAUAGAAAUUAAACAACUUUACCAUAUCAGAUUAUGAUUAAAGAAACAAGGAAAAAAAGGGGUACUACACAAUAACAAAUGAUGAAAUAUGACAUCCUCUAAAUACUGUUCAUGCAAUCAUUUCAACAGAAAAGAAGCAUCAGUGAUGCCAAUGGAAUAUCCAACAAACCUGUAAUGGGUAUCUAACAAAAGCAGGUUCAUAACGCCCUUUGCAGAAAAAAUGGAACCAUAUGGUCAGGACUGGAAGUGCUAUGAGCAGUGGAGUUGAUUGAGCUGCUUGUUUUGUACUUAACAAUCCCAUUAGUAGCAGCUGUGAGACAACUAAUGCAACUAUGAUGCGCAUGUGAACAUCAGGCCAGAAUGCAGCAGCACUCUCAUACUCCUGAUUGUAUACAUUUAUGAUCUACAUAUCCACCAGAAAUUUUAUUAGAGAAAGAAUUUGGGCAGAGAGGACAGAGAUAAUAUAUUACAUCAGAGAUUCCUUUCCAACCACCAACUGAAAAACACUAUACUGUAAAACAACUGGGCAGGGAAAAUAUGAUUAGGGUAGGAGGAGAUUCCUCCACACAAAUGUGAAGGAAUACCAACUUUUACCUGAUGACGAAAUACAACAUAUGCCAAGCCGAAGAAUACUAUUAUGAAAGGAAGUAAAAUGGGGGUGACCACGGCAUAAACGAGGCCAAGUAAGAAAUAGAGUUGUAUUUGGGGUUCGCCUGUGUUGAAACUAAGGCUCCCUGGAUCCAUUGCUUCUUCCCUAUCUUUUUCAGUUUUCACAGUGAAGAAAUUCUUUAAGUGGUAGAUUAUCAUUGGCUUCAAUCUUAGAAUCUCCCCAGAAACUCCAGCCCAUCCAUCAACCAUUAUGUAAGUUAUGAAGAAAGUUGCCUUCAUUGGAAUUGAGGUUCCGAUGAUCUUUGGGAUACUGCAAAAUCAACCACUUGACUUUAUAUUAAACAUAUCAGAUCAAAGUAGCACUUGAUGUCACAUCCAGAUCUAAUUAAUCCAGUAACAAAAAUGGUAUUAGAAUAUUCUAUCUAUAGCAGUAUCUAAAGACUGUUUCAAAGGAAAGAAACAUCUGAUGAAUUAUGUUUGUGGAAGAAUAAGUUAUGGGAGCCAAUAUGCUCAAUCCAUACAUAGAAUAAGUCAUGGAAUCAAGGUAAAAGUGUCUUUAGAGAUGAUAGUUCAUUGAGCAUUGUCAUAUAAAACAAAAAGAAACCUGAAACAAAAGGGACUAGAGAUGAUUUACUCUCACAAAACAUAAAAAUCAAGACCAUCAGAUGCUAUAUCUUGACAAAAUACAAUUGGAGGUGCCAUUGAUCCUGUUCUGCUAUCUAGGUUUAUAAAGGGUCAUAUAAUUGACAUAUGUGAGACAAAAGCUACAAUCAAUUUUGUAAUUGCAAAGAGAAAGAUACUGCAGAACUGUGUGCAUAGGAAAGAAAAUUUUUAGAGAAAUAUAAGAAUGCAAUGAUUUUUGGAUCAAUCUGUUUUGCCUCAUAAGAACUCACAUUGUCAUUUAUAAGCCUGUGGAUUUCAAGUUUACUUUGAAUAUGUCAUCCUCACAGUCUAGUUUGCAUCAGAAGUCAUUUUGUUACAUGAUUGGAUCAGAAGUCAGUUGGUGAACAUGGGUUUCUUCCCCUUUCUCUACUGGCCUUUUAUAAAGAAGCUUAAAAAGAAAAAAGAAACAGCCAUUAAUAAGAUAGCUAAGGCAAUUAAAGGAGCUGGGUUCUCAGGAUGUAAAGGUAUUUUUGUGGGUUAGGCUUUAGGGCGCCUCAGAUGGGAUUCUACAUAAGAGAGAAAAUCUAGCGUUCUUUGGAUCAAUGAAGAUGAUAAAGAUACAAAAUUCUUUCAUAAGUUACCAGUUUGUGAAGGAAGAAUAUCAUCUUUAGGUGGAUGGUGCAAUCCGAGAUGACCUAGUAUUUAUCCAAUAAAAGCUAGGGCGUUCUACUAUCCUUUAUUCAUUAUUUAUGUAUCUAGGUUCAAACAAUUUCAUUGUGCCUAUGUAUUAAGAUAAGAAGCCAAGCAUAAGAGAGUUUUCAAAAUUUAGGAGCUCAUACAGACACCUCUUUUUUAUCUGAUAUUAAUAGGAACCUGACCAAGGUCUGAGAGAUUUCACACCGAAAGUUUCCAUUGCUCCACUAUUACUAAGGAAUACAGGAUGAAGUUUUCUUUCUCUGUUUCUAUUAUUAUUAUUAUUAUUAUUAUUAUUAUUUGUCAUAAUUUGCUGCCAAUUGGAACAUGUUGGCUUCAUUUCCCCUGAGGAUAUCAGGCCUAAGAAUUUUGUACCUAUAAACUAGAGAAGCCUCAGUCCUCUCCAGAUGCCUGAAAUAUCUUUACUUUUGUUGCAGAGAAACAAAUAACUGAUAAACAUCAAUCGGAGCAAUGGUUAGAGAAAGCAACUUGAAUUGAUGAAAACAAUUAUCUUCAACUAAAGUGGAAGAUGAUAAUUCAGGGAAAAACUUUGUCACAACUCUAGAAGAUAAUAUAAUAAUACAUGCAUCGAUAAUGAUUAUUUGAAGAUUGCAUUUCCAAAAACCUAAGAGAUGUCUCAGAAAUAUAAUGCACAGUGCAUAUAUGAGAAGAACUUACUCAUUUGCAGACUGGUGGAUAAAACUAUUUAAUUGUUGAAAUGCAGUUCCAGUGAUUAUGCUCCCAAGAAAAACAUUAAUAAAUUGGAAUAUAUAAAAUCUAGCUGCAGAUCUCCUCUCUAGAGCUGACCGGCUGAUAAAUCCCUCAAAUUUAGACAUUAGCAUCAAUAUUGAUGGUAGAAAAAUGAGAAAGAUCUUUAGAGCAAUCCCAGGAAGAAAACCUUGGAUGAUUGACUUGAUGAAGUGGCUGCAUGACAAAGACAAUGCUGUUAAUAAAUAUAUAUAUAUAUAUAUAUAUAUAUAUAUAUAUAUAUAUAUAUAUAUAUAUAUUUAUAUAUAUUUAAAGUAAUCCAAUCUCAAACUAAAAGAUGGUGAACCUUGUGUAAACACACAAGCUUCAAAUCAUUCUCAAGUAUUAAGCAGAAACAGGAACUGUCAAUGCUGGGAUGUGAUUGAUGAACUAUGGCAAUGUAUUAUAGUAAGAAAGAACAUUCUCAAUUGAUUGGAGCAAAUGAAGCACAUGACCAUGAAAAAACCUCAUCUAACAACAUCAAACCCUUAAUGAACCAACAAAAACUUAUCAGAUAAGAUCAACCCAUUUCUGAUCUUGAAUCAAAGAUCUUAAAAAAUGAAAGUUGAUACUUGAUAGGUUCAGGAGAAACAGAACAGAAUGGAUAAAAGGGGAAGUAAAAGAAAACCAAGCUAGAGUCAGAUUAAUGCACAUAAGUAUCAUUUGGUAGGUUCACGGGAAGCUGGUCAAUGGACUCCCAACAGCAAACGGGACUGGAACCAGCAACCACCUGCACUACUUACAGCAGUUCAAUUUCUGGUAUGCCACCUAGGGCAGAAGGGCAGUGAUGACCAAGUCCUCAAUUAAAAUACCAAGUACAAGGUGGACUAAACUUAAUUGAUAAUUGUAGAUAAUAUAGUUUACUAGGGAUUAAUAAAAGCACCAGAGUAGUAUGGCAUGCAGAAUCAAUUUACUAAUAAACCAAAUCAUUCAAAUCAGUACAAAUGUGUGCAUAAGUCUAUUUGUGUGAAUGUGCAUAUGAAAUAUAUACACAAAGAAAAAGAUACUAUCAAAAAUUUGAGAACAGAUGACAAU
rnacentral:lncRNA from 1 species